rnacentral:lncRNA from 1 species
AAAGAUGUGCAGGAUCGUAAGUGCGUGCGUAACUGCUUCGUGAAUCUGGCCCCUGGGAGUCUAACCUGGGAACGCUUGCAUACGAAGGGAUGAAAGUGUAUGUUACUCUGCACCCCAAACUCCUUAAAAUAAUUCUUAUAUUAUUAACAUAGACGCAUAUGCAUUUAUGCGGCUAUCAUAAGCUGUAUGAAGAGGUAAGCUGUAAGUUCGAGUCCCAGCCGAGGCAGAAACAAAUGGGCAGAGUUUCUUUCACCCUGACGUUCACCUAGCAGUAAAUAGGUACCUGGGAGUUAGACAGCUGUUACGGGCGGCUUCCUGGGGGGUGUGAGUGUGUGCGUUAGAGAGAAAAAUCAGUUUCAGUUUGAAAUGCAAACUUCAAAUUUGAAAAUGCAGCAUCGUUUCGAAAGAUUCUCUGGAUAGCCGAAGAUUGACUAACAUCAAUCAAUGGGCUGUCGGUAUGACGUCUCAGUUAUACCUGAGACGGUAUGAGUCUCAGCCUGGUUGAUCAUUUAUCCUUUGGAGGAGUUUGUCAAGUUUUCUCUUGAACACUGUGAGGAGUCGGCCAGUUAUGCCCCUUAUGUGCAGUGGAAGCGUGUUGAACAGUCUUGGGCCUCUGGUGUUCAUAAGAGUUCUCUCUCAGGGUACAAGUAAGCCUUGUCUCACAGCAGCCUGUCCUCCUGAUUUGCCACAACGUACAAAGUACAGAGGACUAAAUCAACUAGAAACGCACGAACCCAAGUAACCCACCAAACCUAUUAACCUCCCGACGAAUACAGACAGACGCAUUUAACCAGCAUCACUGUCUCCCAUCGUUUCAACGAUUGUUAAGAUGGUCUCCUGAAAGUUAGAAACGCAGUUCAGUUCCACUAUGAACUGAAGCGCGAUAAUGCAGUAGCCAAGUCCAUCUUUGCCAGCAUCAACGUUGCCAGCAUCCCUCUAUCUCCUGGUUGCCAGGGCGACUCUGAGAAUGGGGGGGACCUACUAUGCGGCCCCCAUACUGAAACGAAAGCUGUUUGGGCUGAGGACACCCCCUGCAAGUGACAGCCCACACAGCCGGAGCAUAUCAAGUCCUGGUGUCAGGCACCACACAGCUCCGGUUAAGCUGGAUUUUACAAAUGCCUUCAGACUAGUCACAACAGAUGCUGCGCUCCGGGCUGCGGGAAGUCAUUUCUCUUCCCUUGGUCCAUUUACCCUGUCAUACUACAGCGGCGCCCACUUUUCAACGAACCUGAAAUGAAUUCGUGUGAUGUAUUGAACCUGGUGGUCUCACCGCCACUACUGAAGUGGCAAUAUACCUCACUGCCACUAUUUAAGGGGCACUAUACUUCACUGCAACUGUAACAGGAUCGUCUUAUAUCUCUAUAAGAGUUUCAGACAGCUGGUGGGAGGCUUCGUGUGAGCAGAUCUUUCCCUGGGUGUACCAGCUGGUCCUCCCCUAGGUGUACCAGCUGGUCCUCCCAUGGAUGUACCAGCUGGUCCUCCACUGGGUGUACCAGCUGGUCCUCCAGUGAGUGCCAACUGGACGAUGCCACCACCGCGCGGGAGCGGGAAAUCGUGCUUCACAAAUUUACGAGUCUGCACCGUCAGUUUUGUUUUAAUAGGGUCGGAGACCCUCUGGUCCUCGGGGUGGUGGUGGUGGGGGCUAAGGAACCAAAAUAGUUUUCAAAGCGUUGGCCCCUAUACAACGUUAUCCUUCUAUGAUAUGUUUACGGUAAAAUAUAAGCAAUAGUGUUGUUACGACUGUGUGCUCCUCACUAGAGCCAGAGACUGGAGAGUUUACAUGCUUCAAGUAUCGUAGUAAUGCCUCUCGAUCUCUCUCAGGAGUACCGGGGAGAUUCACUACAUCUAACGGGCCAUUAUCCGGUAUCAUUUCUAACCAGUUGACGGUAUUUAAUACAAUAGUAAGUGUUAAGUCAGAGGACAAUAUUAAAAUGCAUUCGAGAAGAAGCUAGAAGUGUUGGAGCUUAUUGUUCCGGUUUCUUGAGUGUAAGAGUCUUCAGUAAGUUAACUAGAGAUGCUUCUAGCAAAGGACUGGUCAAAAAAACGUUUAAAUAUCAUAAAACAACAAAUAUUGGAGGCACAGCAGCGGCCAGGACUGUGACCAUCGUGCGACCAAGAGAGCAACGCAGUAGGGGUCGCUUCUCUUGUGUUGGUUUGUAAUUUAUAAUGAAGGAGGGAGCGUAAUAUGAGCAGGAGGGUGUCGCAGCUCAUGUGGAGGGAAUUUAUAAAUGAGACUGUGAGAAACAGGAGAUAAGUGGGAUGGGAAGAGAGUCAGGGAGAGAAAUAACUAUGUCAGCAAAUUAAAAGUGGAAAUGAGUAUGCGGUCAUUUGUCUGUGUCAGAGUACUUACCAGCCAGGCGUCUCCAAAGCUGUUCCUCUGAGGACGGUUGGUACUAAGAUUGCAUGCGAGUCCUCGUAAAAAUCCUUAUUCAUGUAUUCUUGCCAAAGUGAUACAAACUGAGAGGGUAAUAACGCCUACCUUGUCCCCGCGCCGCGGUCUCUCACCAGACCUCCUGGUCUGUGGUCUGGAGUGUUUUUGUAACUUGGUGUAAAGUACAAAUACACUCUACAAAAAGCUUAAGCUACGCCAAGCAUAAAAAACACAUCUGAGUGUUUUUUGAGCUUGGUGUAAGACCAAAACAUUCUACCUCACAUCGUCUUGAGAUCUAAGGUCUUUGUGAAGGUUGCAUCGCAUCGUGAUAACGACCUUCCGAAGCUAUUGUGGGUAGAUCUGUAAUGACUGGGUAAGUAAGUAAUUAUCACAAGAACGCACCAAACCGGGAAGGCUGUGUAGCACCACCGCCACAGGUAAUGGAUUGCCUUCUUUCAUAUUUGGUCUCGUGGA